rnacentral:rRNA from 1 species
UACGAAGGGGGCUAGCGUUGCUCGGAAUUAUUGGGCGUAAAGAGCUCGUAGGCGGUUUGUUGCGUCGGCUGUGAAAUCCCGAGGCUCAACCUCGGGUCUGCAGUCGAUACGAGCAAACUAGAGUGUUGCAGGGGAGACUGGAAUUCCUGGUGUAGCGGUGAAAUGCGCAGAUAUCAGGAGGAACACCGGUGGCGAAGGCGGGUCUCUGGGCAACAACUGACGCUGAGGAGCGAAAGCGUGGGGAGCGAACAGG